rnacentral:tRNA from 1 species
AUUUAAAUAGUUUAAUAAAAAAUAUUGAUUUGUGGUGUCAAUGAUAUGAAAUUUCUCAUUUUAAAUC